rnacentral:lncRNA from 1 species
UCUUAUAAUAGCAAAUCAUAAUGGCUUUAUUGGUACUCCUUGAGAAUUUUUGUCUAGAAUUGGUGUUGCAUUCUAGCUUGUUUUCAGUUUCUUCACGAUUAUAUUUUUCCAGUAGUUCUACAGAGGCUAGCCCUGGUUGCUCAGCCAGUUGCCCUGAGCCCUGUAACCCACUUAACGCCAGGUGGCCAGGAACUCCACCACCUAACGCGGACCUUAUAGACCCGGGCAAUGACUGAUCCGGUAUAGGAUUAUUUCCUGUUUUUCUAACCAUUUUGCUAGGAGGCACCAUUAGUCUGGCUCCUCUGCAGUGGUCUGCCUAUUAUGGUUGAACCUAUAUAGUAUAGCCCACUGCUUCAUUGAAGCACACAAGCCCCUC